rnacentral:tRNA from 1 species
GGAGAGGUACCCAAGUGGCCAACGGGAGCAGACUGUAAAUCUGCCGGCGAACGCCUUCGGGGGUUCGAAUCCUCCCCUCUCCACCA